rnacentral:misc_RNA from 1 species
AGUCAUUUAGGUGGAAUGAAAGCUCUAGCUCUAGAACUGGUAGCUCAUCAAGUUCUAUCACUUUACAUGAUAGAGAGGAAGCCAGUCCAAGAAGCAUAUCAAGAAACAUUUGGGAUCCUAUGUUUGUGCCUGCAACUGAGUUGAGAACCUCAGUUAGAAAUCCAACAAACAGAAGUGUAACUGGUGGAAAUGCUUGUGUUCCUGGAAAUGUUGCUUCUACAUCACGGUCUGGCUCAAGUUCAGUUGUCCAUCCUUUAUCAGCUCCAACUUGGGUUUCUCAUCAAAAUCCUACUUCAAGAAAUUCACGGAGAUUAGCUGAAUAUGUUCGUCGAUCUCUAUUUGCUUCUGCUGGUGCUGAUUCUGGAGGCCAGAGCAGUACUCAUUCUCCACUGCAUUCAGGUCCUUCUGGAACCUCGGAAGAGGCAAUGAUUUCUUCUGGAGUUGGUAACCAAGUGCAUCAUCGAUCAUAUCCAAGGUCAUCAAUGUGGAUGGAGAGACAGGUGGAUGGUGUACUUGGAAUUCCUUAUCCUUUGCGAACUCUGGCUGCUGCCAGUGAAGGAAGAAGCAGGCAUCUUGUGUCUGAG